CCGUGCAGCAUCAUCAAGAUGUCCGUUGAUUCCUGUUCAUCUCUGGACUGUGAUCGGACGUUUCACUCUCAAGCUUGGGGUUUUCAAAAUAUCUCAGGAAGAAGAAAAAAAACAAAAGGUACAAUUAUAAACUCAAUCAGUUUUAUUAUUUUAAAAUGCAAGAUGUUUUCAAAAGACUGUCUUUAUUUAUCUGAUCUGUGUAAAUCUUUGCAGUUCUGAAAUUCCUAAGUAUUUUUGUUAAAUUGUAAUAAUAAAAGUUAGCAGUUGGACACACUAACCAAUCACACCAGAGACAACUUGGCUUCAUGCUGAUAUAUCUAUAAGACUUCUUAAUUAAUUCCAUAACAAUUUAUCUGAUCCUAUUGUAAAAUAAAUAAUUAACUAUUUGAGAUUGUUUUGAGGGUUGAGAAAAAGAGAUACUUGCAUUGGCCGGGAAUCGAACCCGGGCCUCCCGCGCGGGAGCCGAAAAUGGUUAAGCUUAACUCUCUUAACUUUUCUCAUUCAUUCUCUAUGGUAGUUCUUAACACUACGGAUGUAAUAUACUUUUUCACCACUAGCGAGAUUUUGGGGGCGCUGUUUCCACAUCGUCUUAGUAGUAAGGUUUUCACAGGAAGAGCCUUUAGGAAGACAAAACAACAAUAAUCCUGCGGCCAGAUUUGAUCCGAUCGCUGUUAAAACACAAGAGCACAACAAGUUAAAGUCAAGUUAAAGUCUGAUAUCUCCAGAAUGAAGAGGAAAUUAAUUUUUCCUGGAAAAAUCUGCGUGAGCUUCAGACGAGGCCCAACUGGGUUUCUCAGGCAGGACCCUUCAGAUGAAGCCAAGAGGAUCAAAAAAAAUCCUGAGCUCCAGGACAAGUCUGCUCCCCAGAGAGAGGAAAAAGUGAAGGAAAACGCCCUGUCAAAAGUCUUCAUUAGGGGUGGAGAUACAUCUGACAGGCAGGAGGUGUUGGGGGAGUAUGUUCUUCAAUUUGGCAAAUACAAGGGGAAGUCCUUUCGGUGGCUGCUAGAAAAUGAUAUUGGCUACACCAUUUAUUUAAUUAACAAGGUUGAGGAAGAGGAGAGAGCUGGACUCUUUAAUGCCGAGGGACCAAAGAAGGAGAGUCUCUUUUCAUUUCUGGAUUAUACCCGACACUUUCACGAAAUCAGAGAUCUGAGAAACUGUUUAGCUGAAAGAUCAGUGGAGCCACCUUCAAGUAGUGAGGACAACCAGCUGGUUGGAUUUGGUGUGCAUUCUAAGAAGACCUGGAAGGAUGUCUGGGAGAAAAGAGAAGAUGGAUAUGCAUCAUUUAUCCUCAGGAAACAGUGUGUUUCAGGCAGCAAAAUGUUCCUGCUCCAGCAGUACCUGAAGAAGAAAGAGGCUCAGACUCAGAGCUCUUCAGAACCUGCUCUUACUAAACCUUCUUCUAGUCCUCCAGUAUCUUCGUUAGAGAUGGAAGAUGAUGAAGAGUUGGAGAGAAUGAUGCUUUCUGUCUCUCCAUCCAAACUCCUCCCUUUACAAGAGCAGAGACAUUUAGUGAAGAAGAUGACAGGCCCAACAUGUUUAGAAACAAUCCCAACCCAACCAAGUUCACUGAGUAAAGGUCUAGAUGCUGCUGCUGCCACUGCCACCGCCGCCGCUGGUACCUGAUGGUUCUGUCGUAAACCAGGAUCACCUUUUCCUUUCCUCUGUUUGCUGGUUGGCCACGUUCAGGCCUGUUCUAAUGCAGGUGUUUUGUUUGACUGCUUUUAUGAUGCUGAAGGUAUUCAUUGUUCGUCGUCGAGGACCAGCCUGAGAGGUCCAGCUGUCCUGCUGCCACACAUGCAGUUACUUCAGCUCCAGUGAAGACUCCUCUGCCAGUACCACCAGAGUUGCUCGCUUUGGAACUGCCUCAACGUGUCCAGGAUAAAACCUACACAGUCGUUGGAAGACCCUCAGCUCAGUCUGCAGCUCCUUCUCCUGCUCACUUUCAGCCAACGCCUGCUGCUUCACCACUUCCAUCUUAUGACCAGGAUGUUAGCAGCUGGAACUGCUCUCCCCAGCAGAGGAUCUGGAUGAAAACAGAGAUGGAAGCCUUAGGACUGUGGCCUGGGUCUCCACCUGUAAGACAUGCCAUGAAUAUGAUCUCCUUGUGGCGUAACCCACCUCAGCCGGAACUCAUUGACUCAAUUUAUGAGCUACCAUCCCCAAAGUACUUUCACCUCCAUCCUUUUUUUAUCUGGAAACCAGACCAUGCAAUAAUGGAAAGAGUGCGUAACAACUACCCCCUCCCGUGUCUGCAUGGCUGCCCA